GAGUGCGAGAGAUAGCAAAUUUUGAAAAAUUUCUACUGGGACUUUUUUUUGCCUGCAGAAAUUUGCAACUUUGAACAGAUGUUUUGUAAAGGUCAGCUGUUCUAUGAAAUGCAGCCGUUGCAUGAAAAUACAAAAGCUAACGGCAAAAUGGAUCAAUAAGACAGCUCUAUGGCCGCAGCUAGUGUUUAGGUACAGAAAACUCGACAAAAGAAGUUGUAAUUUUACUUCAAGUCGGUUGUUCUACAUUAGAAGACACCAAGAAAAGAGCAAUUAUCGGUUACUUAAUAGUUUUGAUGGAAUCAUCCUCAUCGGAGAGCUUCGAUGAAACCAACACCUUUCCUUUGAAUUUGUUAAGGAGGGAAGAUGCUGCCAUGGGAUUGAGUGGGUCUUGCUGUGCAGUUAAACAAGUGACGCACAGUGGGAUUUGAAAUAUUUGUGCAAACUAGUCUGCCAAUUGUGACGGAUACAGAUAUCUUCGACGAUAACAAAGUGUCCGUAGCCGCCACAUGACCAAAUUGAAGGUCCCUUAGCUUCACAUCAGUGGUCGUAGCAAUUUAUCUAGCCACAACAUCCAAAAGCAUUAGAUGGCUAGUCCAAGAUAUCUUUGUCAGCACAACAAGUGUACUUUUGUAUACGGUGAUGACAUGUAAAGCAGUUGUAAGAAAUUGUCCAACAAGAGGAACGGGAGAAGUAGUCCGUCAUGCGUCUUGGCUACUGAUGAGAGAAGGGAGAUCGGUCUGUACGACUCCCCCUUGCUCGUGUACUUUUCAGGUCUCAGAGUGGGAUCUGACAGUCCUAUGCAGGCUUCGAAAUGCAUGCUGAUGCUCGGAGAAUGGAAAUUGUCCAACGAGAGGAGCGGGAGGAGUAGUCCCUCAUGCGUCUUGGCUACUGAUGAGAGAAGGGAAAUCGGUCCGUACGACUCCUCCUUGCUCGUGUCCUUUUCAAGACUCAGUAGCGGGAUCUGACUGCCCAUCUUCCAAAUAUCGGGUACUAUAAUAGUCUUCAGGUAGGCUGAGGACAGUUGUAAGGUAAUCGACUGCGGGCAGAUUCAGAUUCUUCAGCAUCAGUGUAGGUUCUGUCUGGAACCAGCGCUUUGCGCGACUUGGCGCCACGGAUGAUGCACGGUUGUUGUUUUUGUUGUAGCCGUGUGUUGUACACUGAAGACUCCAUCGGGCCAAUGCGGUACGUACAACCGGCUGCCAUGGGAUUGCACGGUAAUUUGUGAUGGCUCUCCAGCGGCACGGAGAUCACUGUUAUACAAAUGGCUCCCCUUCUACCCUUUACACUCUUGGAUCAAUAAAUUGACGUUUAUUAAGGAAAAUACCUCACAAGUAUUGCCAGCAUUUUUUAUUCUAAAACAAUUGUUUUCCUUAGCAAGCAAAUA